GGCCCCGUCGUCUAGCGGUCUAGGACAUCGCCCUUUCACGGCGGUAACACGGGUUCGAGUCCCGUCGGGGUCA
rnacentral:tRNA from 1 species